GCAAGUCGAGCGAGAAAGUCGCCUUCGGGUGGCGAGUAAAGCGGCGAAAGGGUGAGUAACGCGUGGAUAAUCUGCCUUUUGGUCUGGGACAACCCCGGGAAACUGGGGCUAAUACCGGAUGAGACUACGAUUCCUUCGGGUUUUGUGGAAAAAGAUGGCCUCUCCUUGGAAGCUAUCGCCAGAAGAUGAGUCCGCGUUCCAUUAGCUUGUUGGCGAGGUAACGGCUCACCAAGGCUACGAUGGAUAGCUGGUCUGAGAGGAUGAUC
rnacentral:rRNA from 1 species